ensembl:lncRNA
CUUGUUGAGCGGCCCCAUCGUUGGAGGACGAGACGAGUGGGUGAGCCGAAGUAGAGCGUGGGUGAAUGGAUGUUAUUUGGCUGUGGCCACACCGUAAAGUUUGGAGCACUUACCGUGCCAGCGACUGCAAACUCCUCCAGGACGAAAUCCGACCGGGCGCGGAGUACCGACCUUAAAAAUCACUGAAGUGUGUGUAGUGCAGUGGGUGAGUCUGUCUUUGACGUGUGUACACCAAAGCUUUGCAGUGCUGUGCCGUGUCCCUGUUGUCUGUACUCGCCCUCCAGGCCGAGAAAAGUUCCUGUUGGAGAGAACGUAGGCUGCCGUGGCGGUGCCCACCUAUCCCACCUACGCCCGCCUAUAACUCCGUUCCCCGGACCCAGCUUGAAGGUGAAGCGUGAAUGCAAAACAAGGUAUUGUGCGGAUAUUGAGGGGAAAGCUACUGACCUUGAAUACGCUCUGUAAGCCCAGCGUGAAGAUACAGUCACUUGUUGAAUACUUACCUGUCUGUAUGAGCUAAAAGCUAUUGCCCUUGAAUACGCUCUGUAAGCCCAGCGUGAAGAUACAGUUACUUUGUUGAAUACAUACCUGUCUGCAUGAGCUCGAAGCUAUUGAUCUUGAAUACGUUCAGUAAGCCCAGUGUGAAGAGUCAGUCACCUUGCUCAAUACCUAUCUGUGUUACGAGUAAAAAGUUACUCGCUUCUGAUAUACCGGUGGACAUCCAGGGGCAUGGCCUAGUUACCUUGCUACAUCCUUACCUCUGUUACUUACCUGUGCCCUCAGGGAUUUUUGUGUUACCCUAUACUUACCUAGGAGGUCUAUGGGAGUGGAGGAGCUGUCCAGACGCUGGAGAAGAGAAGGGCGCCACGGGAAAUCAAGCCGCUAAGGAAGGACUUAGGAUCAGUCAGGAGAUUGGUGGAAGUUCUGGGAAAGGACGAAAGAGCCCUUUGCCCCCCCUCCCCUUGUGAUUACUUACCAACGACCUUCAGAGUUCUCAGGCCCAGUCCCCUCCUGUCAAGAGACGAAAAUCAAAAUUUUAGAUUCCC